rnacentral:rRNA from 1 species
GACGAACGCUGGCGGCGUGCUUAACACAUGCAAGUCGAACGGAAAGGCCCUGCUUUUGUGGGGUGCUCGAGUGGCGAACGGGUGAGUAACACGUGAGUAACCUGCCCUUGACUUUGGGAUAACUUCAGGAAACUGGGGCUAAUACCGGAUAGGAGCUCCUGCUGCAUGGUGGGGGUUGGAAAGUUUCGGCGGUUGGGGAUGGACUCGCGGCUUAUCAGCUUGUUGGUGGGGUAGUGGCUUACCAAGGCUUUGACGGGUAGCCGGCCUGAGAGGGUGACCGGCCACAUUGGGACUGGGAUUCUGCCCAGACUCCUACGGGAGGCAGCAGUGGGGAAUAUUGCACAAUGGGCGGAAGCCUGAUGCAGCAACGCCGCGUGCGGGAUGACGGCCUUCGGUUUGUAGACCGCUUUCGCCUGUGACGAAGCGUGAGUGACGGUAAUGGGUAAAGAAGCACCGCCUAACUACGUG